rnacentral:rRNA from 1 species
UUUGGAGGGCAAGUCUGGUGCCAGCAGCCGCGGUAAUUCCAGCUCCAAUAGCGUAUAUUAAAGUUGUUGCAGUUAAAAAGCUCGUAGUUGAAUUUCGGGAUCAAUUUAUUGGUCGUGCUAUUGUACGUACUGGUAUUAUUGAUUCCUACCUUCUGACGAACCAUGAUGUCAUUAAUUUG